CUAAGUGGUUUUAUCACUUCCGUGAACUGUAGAAAAUUGCCAUGUAUCACACAAGAUGGUAACAGCUUUACAGCAUCGUGUACACGUUGUACUCUGUCGUCGUACAAAAAAAAUACCACUUAAAACCCUCUUACGAGAUCAGUUCUGAAUUGUAUUCAAAAUAACAAACCCAUCAAAUACACUAUGCAGCCUACAGAACUCUUUAAUGGUGAAGUUCGAGAUUAUCCCAACUGAGAAUGAUUGGAAAAUCAUUAAACAACUCGAAUUCAAACAGUGCUUAUUUUCACAAGAACACGUUCCAACGAAAGUGAACACCUUUCAGCCUGAUCAAAAAUGACAAAUCCCUACCUAUCACUUCUACACAUAGAUGGCUCACGCAUGUUCUAAAUAAUAUUUCCAAGACAAAUUUAAACAUCCGACCAUUACAUAUAUUAGUGUCACAAAUUUCUAAAUACUCGUUACUAAGAUUUAUGCACAAAUAUGUAAUCUACUAUAUAAUAAGUUUUCUUUAAGUUACGGCUACUCAUGAAACUACAGACUCUCGUAACCUAUGAAAUCCAACAAUUAGAUUUCGAAGAAGCUAGCUAGAUGUCCGACUUGAAUCAGCUGAUCGGAACAAUGUUUACGUUCAGUGAUUUUCGAUUAAGGAAAACAAAUAAACAAAACGCUUAUGACUCUUAUUCUGCAACUACUGAAAGAAGCUCCAGUCAAACAACCAGAGGCGGAUCCGUUAGAAUGGGAUAUCCUUUUAUUUUAAAAUUAUAUGUACAAGUGUGCUGAAUAAAUGAGAUUGAUUUCAC